rnacentral:rRNA from 1 species
GACAGAGGGUGCAAACGUUGUUCGGAAUUACUGGGCGUAAAGCGCGUGUAGGCGGCUAUGUAAGUCGGGCGUGAAAUCCCACGACUCAACCGUGGAAGUGCACCCGAAACUGCGUAGCUAGAGUCCUGGAGAGGAAGGUGGAAUGCUUGGUGUAGAGGUGAAAUUCGUAGAUAUCAAGCGGAACACCGGUGGCGAAGGCGGCCUUCUGGACAGUGACUGACGCUGAGACGCGAAAGCGUGGGGAGCAAACAGG